UCUACUCGAGUCUUCCAGACUAUCAUCAUCUGCACACCCUUCUUUGCUCUCCCAGAAUUGUAUCAUCCCAAAAUCUUUUUCAAAACCAUUAAUCGUAUCUUACCGGACCAACCAAGUUAAUUCUCCCCAAAUCUCUGUCCUCGAGAUAAAAAAUAAAGGAGCUUGAAAUUCUUUGCUGAUUGAUAAGUUUUGCUGUGAACACUGCUAGACUGAUCCUGUUCAAGCACAGUUGCUGCCCUAUUUUGCAUGAGUCGAGUGUGGUAGAGCAAUUACCUAUCCCUUUUUCCAUGCAUCUUAAAAUCCAGCUUCAGUCACUGUUCUCAUUGAAGAUGAGACUGGUCAAGCACAUGCAGUCUUAAUGGGCAAAGAAGCAGAAGAAAUCUUUGGAAUCUCAUGCGAAGACUUGAUAUAUAUAAAAGAUCAGACCAGCACAAAUACAUUUCAGUGACAACUUUGAACCAUUAGAUCAGACCAGCACAAAUACAUUGGUUCAAUCUGACACCAAAUACCUUACCUAAUCACUUCUGCUUUGCAAUGCAACUUUUUGUUUUGUGAUAAGGACCAAUAUCUAUGGGUUUUUGUAAUGCUAACUGUCCUUGAAAAACAAUGUCAUGCUAUGUACAUAUAAGCACUGGUUGUCAGGAGUCAGGACCAUUCUCUGUGUUUUUUGUAAUGCUAAUAGUCCCUGAGAAACAAUCAACCAAGAUAGCAGACAUUUUGUACAUUACUGAUCAAUAUACAUAAAAGUUUUUGCUA